rnacentral:SRP_RNA from 1 species
GCCGGGGAGAUAGCGGUGCCCUGUACCUGCAAUCCGCUACAGCAGGGGUGAUAUUCUGUCUGAGGAAAGCAUACUGCAAAGCUGCCCUUUAUAAGUGGCGUUGACGCUUGGGUCUUACGCAACAGAAACCUGCGAACCGUGUCAGGUCAGGAAUGAAGCAGCACUAAACAGGACCUUUUGUGUGCCGUGAGGGUGCCUGGGCUGAGCUAACUGUAGAGGUAACGUUUGUGGG